GGGAAUGUGGCUCAGUGGUAGAGUGCUUGCCUAGCAUGCAUGAAGACCUGGGUUUGAUUCCUCAGUUCUA
rnacentral:tRNA from 1 species